rnacentral:rRNA from 1 species
AUUGAACGCUAGCGGGAUGCUUUACACAUGCAAGUCGAACGGCAGCGCGGACUUCGGUCUGGCGGCGAGUGGCGAACGGGUGAGUAAUGUAUCGGAACGUGCCCAGUAGCGGGGGAUAACUACGCGAAAGCGUAGCUAAUACCGCAUACGCCCUACGGGGGAAAGCAGGGGAUCGUAAGACCUUGCACUAUUGGAGCGGCCGAUAUCGGAUUAGCUAGUUGGUGAGGUAACGGCUCACCAAGGCGACGAUCCGUAGCUGGUUUGAGAGGACGACCAGCCACACUGGGACUGAGACACGGCCCAGACUCCUACGGGAGGCAGCAGUGGGGAAUGUUGGACAAUGGGGGCAACCCUGAUCCAGCCAUCCCGCGUGUGAGAUGAAGGCCUUCGGGUUGUAAAGCACUUUUGGCAGGAAAGAAACGUCGCGGGCUAAUACCCCGUGGAACUGACGGUACCUGCAGAAUAAGCACCGGCUAACUACGUA